GCUUCUCCGUCAGCAGAGGCAGGCCAGCAUGAGGAAGACGAAGGUGAAGAGUCCAGAGAAGGAGAUGGCCACCACAGCCAGGGAGGAGGACCAGGAGAGCUCGCUCAGCGGGGCGCCAUCUGCAGGAGAAGCACCAUGUUUAACUCCAUGCUGCAGCAGGAUGAAGUCAUCCUGCAAACUGGAUUUUUCGGACCUUCUCUCCCUGGGAGGAUCAACUGAACUUCAAACUGAAUUGAGGAUUUAAACUGGAGGUUUGAAUCAACUUUUCCUCAAGAGAUCGUUUGAGCUUUACACUGAGCAAGGGAUUCAUCUCCACUACGACCCGUUCAAGUACCGCAGGAAAUCUGA